rnacentral:rRNA from 2 species
GCAGUCGACGAACUCUGGUAUUGAUUGGUGCUUGCAUCAUGAUUUACAUUUGAGUGAGUGGCGAACUGGUGAGUAACACGUGGGAAACCUGCCCAGAAGCGGGGGAUAACACCUGGAAACAGAUGCUAAUACCGCAUAACAACUUGGACCGCAUGGUCCGAGUUUGAAAGAUGGCUUCGGCUAUCACUUUUGGAUGGUCCCGCGGCGUAUUAGCUAGAUGGUGGGGUAACGGCUCACCAUGGCAAUGAUACGUAGCCGACCUGAGAGGGUAAUCGGCCACAUUGGGACUGAGACACGGCCCAAACUCCUACGGGAGGCAGCAGUAGGGAAUCUUCCACAAUGGACGAAAGUCUGAUGGAGCAACGCCGCGUGAGUGAAGAAGGGUUUCGGCUCGUAAAACUCUGUUGUUAAAGAAGAACAUAUCUGAGAGUAACUGUUCAGGUAUUGACGGUAUUUAACCAGAAAGCCACGGCUAACUACGUGCCAGCAGCCGCGGUAAUACGUAGGUGGCAAGCGUUGUCCGGAUUUAUUGGGCGUAAAGCGAGCGCAGGCGGUUUUUUAAGUCUGAUGUGAAAGCCUUCGGCUCAACCGAAGAAGUGCAUCGGAAACUGGGAAACUUGAGUGCAGAAGAGGACAGUGGAACUCCAUGUGUAGCGGUGAAAUGCGUAGAUAUAUGGAAGAACACCAGUGGCGAAGGCGGCUGUCUGGUCUGUAACUGACGCUGAGGCUCGAAAGUAUGGGUAGCAAACAGGAUUAGAUACCCUGGUAGUCCAUACCGUAAACGAUGAAUGCUAAGUGUUGGAGGGUUUCCGCCCUUCAGUGCUGCAGCUAACGCAUUAAGCAUUCCGCCUGGGGAGUACGGCCGCAAGGCUGAAACUCAAAGGAAUUGACGGGGGCCCGCACAAGCGGUGGAGCAUGUGGUUUAAUUCGAAGCUACGCGAAGAACCUUACCAGGUCUUGACAUACUAUGCAAAUCUAAGAGAUUAGACGUUCCCUUCGGGGACAUGGAUACAGGUGGUGCAUGGUUGUCGUCAGCUCGUGUCGUGAGAUGUUGGGUUAAGUCCCGCAACGAGCGCAACCCUUAUUAUCAGUUGCCAGCAUUAAGUUGGGCACUCUGGUGAGACUGCCGGUGACAAACCGGAGGAAGGUGGGGAUGACGUCAAAUCAUCAUGCCCCUUAUGACCUGGGCUACACACGUGCUACAAUGGAUGGUACAACGAGUUGCGAACUCGCGAGAGUAAGCUAAUCUCUUAAAGCCAUUCUCAGUUCGGAUUGUAGGCUGCAACUCGCCUACAUGAAGUCGGAAUCGCUAGUAAUCGCGGAUCAGCAUGCCGCGGUGAAUACGUUCCCGGGCCUUGUACACACCGCCCGUCACACCAUGAGAGUUUGAACACCCAAAGUCGGUGGG